AGUGAACGCUGGCGGCGUGCUUAACACAUGCAAGUCGAACGAGAACGGGAUAUAGCUUGCUAUAUUUGUCAGCUAAGUGGCGCACGGGUGAGUAAUGUAUAGAUAACCUGCCCUCUAGAAAGGAAUAACAGUUGGAAACGACUGCUAAUGCCCUAUAUGCCUUCAAUACAUAAGUAUGCAAGGGAAACGCUUUAGUGCUAGAGGAUGGGUCUGUAUGGUAUCAGCUUGUUGGUGAGGUAAUGGCUCACCAAGGCUAUGACGCCUAACUGGUUUGAGAGGAUGCUCAGUCACACUGGAACUGAGACACGGUCCAGACUCCUACGGGAGGCAGCAGUGGGGAAUAUUGCACAAUGGACGAAAGUCUGAUGCAGCAACGCCGCGUGGAGGAUGACACAUUUCGGUGCGUAAACUCCUUUUAUAUAGGAAGAUAAUGACGGUACUAUAUGAAUAAGCACCGGCUAACUCCGUGCCAGCCGCCGCCGUAA
rnacentral:rRNA from 1 species